GCCAGGUGUGGUGAUGUACACCUGUAAUCCCAGCGGCUUGGGAGGCUGAAGCAGGAGGAUUGCAAGUUCAAAGCCAGCCUCAGCAAUUUAGUGACACCCUGCCUCAA
rnacentral:sRNA from 1 species